rnacentral:rRNA from 1 species
GACAGAGGGUGCAAGCGUUGUUCGGAAUUACUGGGCGUAAAGCGCGUGUAGGCGGCUUUGUAAGUCGGGCGUGAAAUCCCAUGGCUCAACCAUGGAAGUGCACUCGAUACUGCAGAGCUAGAGUCCUGGAGAGGAAGGUGGAAUGCUUGGUGUAGAGGUGAAAUUCGUAGAUAUCAAGCGGAACACCGGUGGCGAAGGCGGCCUUCUGGACAGUGACUGACGCUGAGACGCGAAAGCGUGGGGAGCAAACAGG